UGUGUGAUUGCUGGAUUGUAGGGUAGGUUUAUGUUUAACUUUAUAAAGAACUACUAAACUGUUUUCCAAAAUUUCUGUACCAUUUUGAAUUCCCAUCAUCAAU
rnacentral:pre_miRNA from 1 species